rnacentral:rRNA from 1 species
UAGGGAAUCUUCCACAAUGGACGCAAGUCUGAUGGAGCAACGCCGCGUGAGUGAAGAAGGGUUUCGGAUCGUAAAGCUCUGUUGUUGGUGAAGAAGGAUAGAGGUAGUAACUGGCCUUUAUUUGACGGUAAUCAACCAGAAAGUCACGGCUAACUACGUGCCAGCAGCCGCGGUAAUACGUAGGUGGCAAGCGUUGUCCGGAUUUAUUGGUCGUAAAGCGAGCGCAGGCGGAAGAAUAAGUCUGAUGUGAAAGCCCUCGGCUUAACCGAGGAACUGCAUCGGAAACUGUUUUUCUUGAGUGCAGAAGAGGAGAGUGGAAUUCCAUGUGUAGCGGUGGAAUGCGUAGAUAUAUGGAAGAACACCAGUGGCGAAGGCGACUCUCUGGUCUGCAACUGACGCUGAGGCUCGAAAGCAUGGGUAGCGAACAGG